rnacentral:rRNA from 1 species
GAUGAACGCUGGCGGCGUGCCUAAUACAUGCAAGUCGAGCGAACGGACGAGAAGCUUGCUUCUCUGAUGUUAGCGGCGGACGGGUGAGUAACACGUGGAUAACCUACCUAUAAGACUGGGAUAACUUCGGGAAACCGGAGCUAAUACCGGAUAAUAUUUUGAACCGCAUGGUUCAAUAGUGAAAGACGGUUUUGCUGUCACUUAUAGAUGGAUCCGCGCCGCAUUAGCUAGUUGGUAAGGUAACGGCUUACCAAGGCAACGAUGCGUAGCCGACCUGAGAGGGUGAUCGGCCACACUGGAACUGAGACACGGUCCAGACUCCUACGGGAGGCAGCAGUAGGGAAUCUUCCGCAAUGGGCGAAAGCCUGACGGAGCAACGCCGCGUGAGUGAUGAAGGUCUUCGGAUCGUAAAACUCUGUUAUUAGGGAAGAACAAAUGUGUAAGUAACUAUGCACGUCUUGACGGUACCUAAUCAGAAAGCCACGGCUAACUACGUGCCAGCAGCCGCGGUAAUACGUAGGUGGCAAGCGUUAUCCGGAAUUAUUGGGCGUAAAGCGCGCGUAGGCGGUUUUUUAAGUCUGAUGUGAAAGCCCACGGCUCAACCGUGGAGGGUCAUUGGAAACUGGAAAACUUGAGUGCAGAAGAGGAAAGUGGAAUUCCAUGUGUAGCGGUGAAAUGCGCAGAGAUAUGGAGGAACACCAGUGGCGAAGGCGACUUUCUGGUCUGUAACUGACGCUGAUGUGCGAAAGCGUGGGGAUCAAACAGGAUUAGAUACCCUGGUAGUCCACGCCGUAAACGAUGAGUGCUAAGUGUUAGGGGGUUUCCGCCCCUUAGUGCUGCAGCUAACGCAUUAAGCACUCCGCCUGGGGAGUACGACCGCAAGGUUGAAACUCAAAGGAAUUGACGGGGACCCGCACAAGCGGUGGAGCAUGUGGUUUAAUUCGAAGCAACGCGAAGAACCUUACCAAAUCUUGACAUCCUCUGACCCCUCUAGAGAUAGAGUUUUCCCCUUCGGGGGACAGAGUGACAGGUGGUGCAUGGUUGUCGUCAGCUCGUGUCGUGAGAUGUUGGGUUAAGUCCCGCAACGAGCGCAACCCUUAAGCUUAGUUGCCAUCAUUAAGUUGGGCACUCUAAGUUGACUGCCGGUGACAAACCGGAGGAAGGUGGGGAUGACGUCAAAUCAUCAUGCCCCUUAUGAUUUGGGCUACACACGUGCUACAAUGGACAAUACAAAGGGUAGCGAAACCGCGAGGUCAAGCAAAUCCCAUAAAGUUGUUCUCAGUUCGGAUUGUAGUCUGCAACUCGACUAUAUGAAGCUGGAAUCGCUAGUAAUCGUAGAUCAGCAUGCUACGGUGAAUACGUUCCCGGGUCU